rnacentral:hammerhead_ribozyme from 1 species
AUCUAGCUGACGAAUCCCGAAUAGGACGAAAUGCGCGUCCUGGAU